AUUGAACGCUGGCGGCAUGCCUUACACAUGCAAGUCGAACGGUAACGGGCCUUCGGGUGCCGACGAGUGGCGAACGGGUGAGUAAUGUAUCGGAACGUACCUUUCAGUGGGGGAUAACGUAGCGAAAGUUACGCUAAUACCGCAUAUUCUGUGAGCAGGAAAGCAGGGGAUCGCAAGACCUUGCGCUGAUUGAGCGGCCGAUAUCAGAUUAGCUAGUUGGUGGGGUAAAGGCUCACCAAGGAGACGAUCUGUAGCGGGUCUGAGAGGAUGAUCCGCCACACUGGAACUGAGACACGGUCCUGACUCCUACGGGAGGCAGCAGUGGGGAAUUUUGGACAAUGGGGGCAACCCUGAUCCAGCCAUGCCGCGUGAGUGAAGAAGGCCUUCGGGUUGUAAAGCUCUUUCGGCCGGGAAGAAAUCGUAUGGGUUAAUACCCUGUGCGGAUGACGGUACCGGCAUAAGAAGCACCGGCUAACUACGUGCCAGCCGCCGCAGUAAUAC
rnacentral:rRNA from 1 species